CUCAACUUGGGUUUUUCCUCUACCUGGAGGGAGGGCUGAGUGGAACACACCAAAGGUUUCUACCUUGCAGUCUUUGGCCCGAAUGGCGAAUGUAGUUUAAUGAAUCUCUCAGUGAAAAAAGAAGAAAAAGAUAAAAAGGAUGCUUUUGAAAGCUCAUGAUGCAAUCACAAGGAUCCACCCAGGUUGAUUCCUAGCUGGUUGACCCUGUGCAAGACUCUCCUAACCUAUCAGGGACCUCAGUUUCUGCAUCUGUAAAAUGCAGGUAAGAGUGUUGAUUCCCUGGGGCUGUUCUGAGGAUGAAAUGAGGAGAUAAAUAAAUGAAAAUGCUCAGCACUAUCAUGAGACUCAGGGGACUUCCCUGGUGACUCAAGCAGUAAAGAAUCUGCCUGCAAUGCAGGAACUGCAGGUUUGAUCCCUGAGUCAGGAAGAUCCCCUGGAG
ensembl:lncRNA